rnacentral:rRNA from 2 species
UACAGAGGUCCCAAGCGUUGUUCGGAUUCACUGGGCGUAAAGGGUGCGUAGGCGGUCAUUUAAGUCUGACGUGAAAUCUCCGGGCCUAACCCGGAAACUGCGUUGGAAACUAUCUGACUAGAGGAAUGGAGGGGAGACUGGAAUACUUGGUGUAGCAGUGAAAUGCGUAGAUAUCAAGUGGAACACCAGUGGCGAAGGCGAGUCUCUGGACAUUUCCUGACGCUGAGGCACGAAAGCCAGGGGAGCAAACGGG